UGUAUGAUCAGCCACUGCUGAAAGAGUGAUGCUUGAGGCGGAUGUGCCCAGACUGAGCUGAUCUGACUGGGGUUGGCAAUGUAUAGAAUGAUCCUGACAGCGUUGAACCAAUCGGGGCUAUCCAGACAGUCUAGUUUUCUGCCUUUGGGUUACCGUGUCUUGAUCACCCAGGCCUGGUCCACUACUGCCAGAAUCUCUACUUUCUGGCUCAUUCUUGUCUUCAAAACCCACAAGUAGUCAAAGUGGGGUGCACCGAACGGGUUGGACCAGACUGUUCUGCUUUUGGCAGUGCUUGUCAUGCCUGGAAUGGUUUUGACAGCGUUGAUCCAACCGGAGUUACUCAGUCAGUCAGGAUUUGUGCCUUUUGGGCUGCACUCUCUUGAUCACCCAUGCCUUGUCCACUUCUUUCUGCUUCAACACAGUCUGGUCGUCUAACGCUUGGACAAAAUUGUCUGCAUCUUCCUCGACUUGGUACCUUCUGAUGUAUGAUCAGCCACUGCUGAAAGAGUGAUGCUUGAGGCGGAUGUGCCCAGACUGAGCUGAUCUGACUGGGGUUGGCAAUGUAUAGAAUGAUCCUGACAGCGUUGAACCAAUCGGGGCUAUCCAGACAGUCUAGUUUUCUGCCUUUGGGUUACCGUGUCUUGAUCACCCAGGCCUGGUCCAUUACUGCCAGAAUCUCUACUUUCUGGCUCAUUCUUGUCUGCAAAACCCACAAGUAGUCAAAGUGUGCUGCACCGAACGGGUUGGACCAGACUGUUCUGCUUUUGGCGGUGUUGGUCAUGCCUGGAAUGGUUUUGACAGCGUUGAUCCAAACGGAGUUACUCAGUCAGUCAGGAUUUGUGCCUUUUGGGCUGCACUCUCUUGAUCACCCAUGCCUUGUCCACUUCUUUCUGCUUCAACACAGUCUGGUCGUCUAACGCUUGGACAAAAUUGUCUGCAUCUUCCUCGACUUGGUACCUUCUGAUGUAUGAUCAGCCACUGCUGAAAGAGUGAUGCUUGAGGCGGAUGUGCCCAGACUGAGCUGAUCUGACUGGGGUUGGCAAUGUAUAGAAUGAUCCUGACAGCGUUGAACCAAUCGGGGCUAUCCAGACAGUCUAGUUUUCUGCCUUUGGGUUACCGUGUCUUGAUCACCCAGGCCUGAUCCACUACUACCAGAAUCUCUACUUUCUGGCUCAUUCUUGUCUGCAAAACCCACAAGUAGUCAAAGUGGGGUGCACCGAACGGGUUGGACCAGACUGUUCUGCUUUUGGCGGUGUUGGUCAUGCCUGGAAUGGUCUUGACAGCGUUGAUCCAACCGGAGUUACUCAGGCAGUCAGGAUUUGUGCCUUUUGGGCUGCACUCUCUUGGUCCCCCAUGCCUUGUCCACUUCUUUCUGCUUCAACACUGUCUGGUCGUCUAACGCUUGGACAAAAUUGUCUGCAUCUUCCUCGACUUGGUACUUUCUGAUGUAUGAUCAGCCACUGCUGAAAGAGUGAUGCUUGAGGCGGAUGUGCCCAGACUGAGCUGAUCUGACUGGGGUUGGCAAUGUAUAGAAUGAUCCUGACAGCGUUGAACCAAUCGGGGCUAUCCAGAGAGUCUAGUUUUCUUCCUUUGGGUUACCGUGUCUUGAUCACCCAGGCCUGGUCCACUACUGCCAGAAUCUCUACUUUCUGGCUCAUUCUUGUCUGCAAAACCCACAAGUAGUCAAAGUGGGGUGCACCGAACGGGUUGGACCAGACUGUUCUGCUUUUGGCAGUGCUGGUCAUGCCUGGAAUGGUUUCGACAGCGUUGAUCCAACCAGAGUUACUCAGGCAGUCAGGAUUUGUGCCUUUUGGGCUGCACUCUCUUGAUCACCCAUGCCUUGUCCACUUCUUUCUGCUUCAACACAGUCUGGUCGUCUAACGCUUGGACAAAAUUGUCUGCAUCUUCCUCGACUUGGUACCUUCUGAUGUAUGAUCAGCCACUGCUGAAAGAGUGAUGCUUGAGGCGGAUGUGCCCAGACUGAGCUGAUCUGACUGGGGUUGGCAAUGUAUAGAAUGAUCCUGACAGCGUUGAACCAAUCGGGGCUAUCCAGACAGUCUAGUUUUCUUCCUUUGGGUUACCGUGUCUUGAUCACCCAGGCCUGGUCCACUACUGCCAGAAUCUCUACUUUCUGGCUCAUUCUUGUCUGCAAAACCCACAAGUAGUCAAAGUUGGGUGCACCGAACGGGUUGGACCAGACUGUUCUGCUUUUGGCAGUGCUGGUCAUGCCUGGAAUGGUUUUGACAGCGUUGAUCCAACCGGAGUUACUCAGGCAGUCAGGAUUUGUGCCUUUUGGGCUGCACUCUCUUGAUCACCCAUGCCUUGUCCACUUCUUUCUGCUUCAACACAGUCUGGUCGUCUAACGCUUGGACAAAAUUGUCUGCAUCUUCCUCGACUUGGUACCUUCUGAUGUAUGAUCAGCCACUGCUGAAAGAGUGAUGCUUGAGGCGGAUGUGCCCAGACUGAGCUGAUCUGACUGGGGUUGGCAAUGUAUAGAAUGAUCCUGAUAGCGUUGAACCAAUCGGGGCUAUCCAGACAGUCUAGUUUUCUGCCUUUGGGUUACCGUGUCUUGAUCACCCAGGCCUGGUCCAUUACUGCCAGAAUCUCUACUUUCUGGCUCAUUCUUGUCUGCAAAACCCACAAGUAGUCAAAGUGUGCUGCACCAAACGGGUUGGACCAGACUGUUCUGCUUUUGGCGGUGUUGGUCAUGCCUGGAAUGGUUUUGACAGCGUUGAUCCAAACGGAGUUACUCAGUCAGUCAGGAUUUGUGCCUUUUGGGCUGCACUCUCUUGAUCACCCAUGCCUUGUCCACUUCUUUCUGCUUCAACACAGUCUGGUCGUCUAACGCUUGGACAAAAUUGUCUGCAUCUUCCUCGACUUGGUACCUUCUGAUGUAUGAUCAGCCACUGCUGAAAGAGUGAUGCUUGAGGCGGAUGUGCCCAGACUGAGCUGAUCUGACUGGGGUUGGCAAUGUAUAGAAUGAUCCUGAUAGCGUUGAACCAAUCGGGGCUAUCCAGACAGUCUAGUUUUCUUCCUUUGGGUUACCGUGUCUUGAUCACCCAGGCCUGGUCCACUACUGCCAGAAUCUCUACUUUCUGGCUCAUUCUUGUCUGCAAAACCCACAAGUAGUCAAAGUUGGGUGCACCGAACGGGUUGGACCAGACUGUUCUGCUUUUGGCAGUGCUGGUCAUGCCUGGAAUGGUUUUGACAGCGUUGAUCCAACCGGAGUUACUCAGGCAGUCAGGAUUUGUGCCUUUUGGGCUGCACUCUCUUGAUCACCCAUGCCUUGUCCACUUCUUUCUGCUUCAACACAGUCUGGUCGUCUAACGCUUGGACAAAAUUGUCUGCAUCUUCCUCGACUUGGUACCUUCUGAUGUAUGAUCAGCCACUGCUGAAAGAGUGAUGCUUGAGGCGGAUGUGCCCAGACUGAGCUGAUCUGACUGGGGUUGGCAAUGUAUAGAAUGAUCCUGACAGCGUUGAACCAAUCGGGGCUAUCCAGACAGUCUAGUUUUCUGCCUUUGGGUUACCGUGUCUUGAUCACCCAGGCCUGGUCCACUACUGCCAGAAUCUCUACUUUCUGGCUCAUUCUUGUCUUCAAAACCCACAAGUAGUCAAAGUGGGGUGCACCGAACGGGUUGGACCAGACUGUUCUGCUUUUCGCAGUGCUGGUCAUGCCUGGAAUGGUUUUGACAGCGUUGAUCCAACCGGAGUUACUCAGGCAGUCAGGAUUUGUGCCUUUUGGGCUGCACUCUCUUGAUCACCCAUGCCUUGUCCACUUCUUUCUGCUUCAACACAGUCUGGUCGUCUAACGCUUGGACAAAAUUGUCUGCAUCUUCCUCGACUUGGUACCUUCUGAUGUAUGAUCAGCCACUGCUGAAAGAGUGAUGCUUGAGGCGGAUGUGCCCAGACUGAGCUGAUCUGACUGGGGUUGGCAAUGUAUAGAAUGAUCCUGAUAGCGUUGAACCAAUCGGGGCUAUCCAGACAGUCUAGUUUUCUGCCUUUGGGUUACCGUGUCUUGAUCACCCAGGCCUGGUCCACUACUGCCAGAAUCUCUACUUUCUGGCUCAUUCUUGUCUGCAAAACCCACAAGUAGUCAAAGUGGGGUGCACCGAACGGGUUGGACCAGACUGUUCUGCUUUUGGCGGUGUUGGUCAUGCCUGGAAUGGUCUUGACAGCGUUGAUCCAACCGGAGUUACUCAGGCAGUCAGGAUUUGUGCCUUUUGGGCUGCACUCUCUUGGUCACCCAUGCCUUGUCCACUUCUUUCUGCUUCAACACAGUCUGGUCGUCUAACGCUUGGACAAAAUUGUCUGCAUCUUCCUCGACUUGGUACUUUCUGAUGUAUGAACAGCCACUGCCAAAAGAGUGAUGCUUGAGGCGGAUGUGCCCAGACUGAGCUGAUCUGACUGGGGUUGGCAAUGUAUAGAAUGAUCCUGACAGCGUUGAACCAAUCGGGGCUAUCCAGACAGUCUAGUUUUCUGCCUUUAGGUGACUAUAUCUUGAUCACCCAGGCCUGGUCCACAACUGCCAGAAUCUCUACUUUCUGGCUCAUUCUUGUCUGCAAAACCCACAAGUAGUCAAAGUGGGGUGCACCGAACGGGUUGGACCAGACUGUGCUGCUUUUGGCGGUGUUGGUCAUGCCUGGAAAGGUCUUGACAGCGUUGAUCCAAACGGAGUUACUCAUGCAGCCACGAUUUGUGCCUUUGGGGCUGCUCUUUCUUGAUCACUCAUGCCUUGUCCACUACUCUUUGGUUCAACACAGUCUGGUCGACUAACGCUUGGAUAAAAUCGUCUGCAUCUUCCGGGAAUUGGAAUAUGAAUAUGAAUAUUUACAACAUCAUUUUAGUUGCAGUGUUUUCUGUAGAGCUUCCGAUUAUUCUUGAUGUAUUUGAAGAUGUAGUGAUGGGUAAUAUAUUCCAAAAUGUUCAUUUAUUUAUAUUUAACUUGUUUGAUAGGCAUUACUUUGAAGUUGGCGGAUGACAAGAUAGACACAAUUUUAUGGAUAACAACUUCUUUAAUACUGUAAAAAGCGACGUUUCGGUAUAGAUCCUUAUACCGUUGUCAAGCAAGACUGGUUUAAUUUCUGGUCAUAUUCGGUAACCACUUCUUGAAAUUUUUUUCUUGUUUUCUUUGAUGCUGUUAGCGUUAAAGUUCAAACUUUUAAAGAGACCGUCCAUUCUUGUUUGUAGUUUCUUGUUUUCCAUUUUGAUCAUGUCAGUCAGAAGAAUUGUAUUGGCUUCCAUUGUUUUCGUCACAUAACUUUUCAUCUCCGCACUUUUGGAUACAUAGAGAAUCUCACCCGAGUGUCUUUUGAUAUAAAAUAUAUCAACACGAGUUGAUAAAAGUGGAACAAUUCCGAGGCUUGCCGAGGUUUUUGCCACUUUUAUCAACGAGUGUU